UACGUAGGGUGCAAGCGUUGUCCGGAAUUAUUGGGCGUAAAGAGCUCGUAGGCGGUCAGUCGCGUCUGCUGUGAAAACUCGGGGCUUAACUCCGGGCCUGCAGUGGGUACGGGCUGACUAGAGUGCGGUAGGGGAGACUGGAAUUCCUGGUGUAGCGGUGAAAUGCGCAGAUAUCAGGAGGAACACCGGUGGCGAAGGCGGGUCUCUGGGCCGUAACUGACGCUGGGGCGCGAAAGCUAGGGGAGCAAACAGG
rnacentral:rRNA from 1 species